AGCCCCGUACACAAAAAUGCACAUGCUGUGAGCUCGAUGAGUAGGGCGGGACACGUGGUAUCCUGUCUGAAUAUGGGGGGACCAUCCUCCAAGGCUAAAUACUCCUGACUGACCGAUAGUGAACCAGUACCGUGAGGGAAAGGCGAAAAGAACCCCGGCGAGGGGAGUGAAAAAGAACCUGAAACCGUGUACGUACAAGCAGUGGGAGCCUCUUUAUGGGGUGACUGCGUACCUUUUGUAUAAUGGGUCAGCGACUUAUAUUCUGUAGCAAGGUUAACCGAAUAGGGGAGCCGAAGGGAAACCGAGUCUUAACUGGGCGUUAAGUUGCAGGGUAUAGACCCGAAACCCGGUGAUCUAGCCAUGGGCAGGUUGAAGGUUGGGUAACACUAACUGGAGGACCGAACCGACUAAUGUUGAAAAAUUAGCGGAUGACUUGUGGCUGGGGGUGAAAGGCCAAUCAAACCGGGAGAUAGCUGGUUCUCCCCGAAAGCUAUUUAGGUAGCGCCUCGUGAAUUCAUCUCCGGGGGUAGAGCACUGUUUCGGCAAGGGGGUCAUCCCGACUUACCAACCCGAUGCAAACUGCGAAUACCGGAGAAUGUUAUCACGGGAGACACACGGCGGGUGCUAACGUCCGUCGUGAAGAGGGAAACAACCCAGACCGCCAGCUAAGGUCCCAAAGUCAUGGUUAAGUGGGAAACGAUGUGGGAAGGCCCAGACAGCCAGGAUGUUGGCUUAGAAGCAGCCAUCAUUUAAAGAAAGCGUAAUAGCUCACUGGUCGAGUCGGCCUGCGCGGAAGAUGUAACGGGGCUAAACCAUG
rnacentral:rRNA from 1 species